UAGCCUAGUGGUUAAGGCUAUGGAUCGCCAAUCCGCAGACGGCGGGUUCGAUUUCCGU
rnacentral:tRNA from 1 species